GUGGGGAAUAUUGGACAAUGGGGGGAACCCUGAUCCAACCAUGCCGCGUGUGUGAAGAAGGCCUUUUGGUUGUAAAGCACUUUAAGCGAGGAGGAGGCUACCGAGAUUAAUACUCUUGGAUAGUGGACGUUACUCGCAGAAUAAGCACCGGCUAACUCUGUGCCAGCAGCCGCGGUAAUACAGAGGGUGCAAGCGUUAAUCGGAUUUACUGGGCGUAAAGCGCGCGUAGGUGGCCAAUUAAGUCAAAUGUGAAAUCCCCGAGCUUAACUUGGGAAUUGCAUUCGAUACUGGUUGGCUAGAGUAUGGGAGAGGAUGGUAGAAUUCCAGGUGUAGCGGUGAAAUGCGUAGAGAUCUGGAGGAAUACCGAUGGCGAAGGCAGCCAUCUGGCCUAAUACUGACACUGAGGUGCGAAAGCAUGGGGAGCAAACAGGAUUAGAUACCCUGGUAGUCC
rnacentral:rRNA from 1 species